GUGAGUGACAGUUUUUAAAUCCAUUACCAUUAGAAAACCACAGGUUUUAAGAAAAUUUUAUUUUCCAUUUAUAUUGAGGUACAAUUGACAUAUAGUAAAUUUCACCCUUUUAAGCACACAGUUCUUAGAAUUUUGAAAUACAGUUAUGUAACCACCACCACAAUCAAGAUACACAACAGUGCCAUCGGCCCCUAAAAUUCCCCCAUGCCUCUUUUGUAACCAUCCCCUCUUCAAACCGCAGCCCUUGGCAACCACUAAUCUGUUUUUCUUCCUGUAGUUUGGCUUUCUUAAGAAUGUCGUAUAAACUGAGUCAUGGAGUAGGUAGCCCUUGGUAUCCUGCUUCUUUCAGCUAGCAUAAUGCAUGUGAGAUCCAUUCAUGCUGUUGUGCAAAACAGUAGUUUGUUUCUUUUUAUUGCUGAGUAAGGAUUUUAUUGUAUGGAAUGUACCAGUUUGUUUAUCCAUUCUCCAGUUGAGAAACAUUUGGGUAGUUUUUAGUUCCUGGUGAUGACAGAUAAAGCUGCUGCAAACAUUCAUGUGCAUAUUUUCGUGAGGAUGUAGUUUUCAUUUCACUUGAGUAAAUGCAAAGCAGUGAGAUUGCUGGGUCAUACAGAGUACAGGGCCCCCUCUGCUGGGAUCCAGGAACAAGCUAGCAAGGCCUCCAGACAGGGGAUUUCCACUGAUCCUUUGUCACUACUGAGCCCAAAAGUGCACGGGCAGCAAGUUACCAAAUCGCCUUCCACAAGGUCUACAAACCCAUCUGGGACACAUGGCAGGGACCAACACGCUUCUAGACUUCCCAUGUUCCAAGUCCACUUCUGCCGGCAGAAUAGAAACCUCGUCAGUUAUCACAACUCAGAUGAAAAAGCCUCACAGCUUGCGGUGUUGACAGUAUUCUAGAAGACCCUACACCCCUGUGGCUUCUCGAUGACUAAUGUGGAGCCAGCAUCUGUCAGCACAAACUCAGAGUGAUUACCCAGAAAUAGGUAUCCUUCUAAUUAAAAUAUCUGACCAUGUCCCCAUCAGCCACUUGCCUCAUUUGGGACACCACCAACCAUCCUGCACGGCUGCCCAUGUUUCUGUUUCUCCAGCCCAAGCAUGCAGUUUCAGUAGGUCCUUCAGAGGCUGCCUGAAAGGAGCUCCUGAAUUUCACAGACAAAUCCAGACCCCUGUGUGGAAAGCCUGCGGUGGUGUUCUCCGUCUUCCCACAGGACUCCCUGCAGCCAGGAAUUCUAGGGGAGCACCUGACGCGAGGUAUACGCCCAGAUGGCCUGAAGUAACUGAAGAAUCACAAAAGAAGUGAAAAUGUCCUGCCCCGCCUUAACUGAUGACAUUCCACCACAAAGGAAGUGUCAAUGGCUGGUCCUUGCCUUAACUGAUGACAUUCCACCGCAAAAGAAGUGAAAAUGGCCGGUCCUUGCCUUAACUGAUGACAUUACACCACAAAAGAAGUGAAAAUGGCCGGUCCUUGCCUUAAGUGAUGGCAUUACCUUGUGAAAGUCCUUUUCCUGGCUCAUUCUGGCUCAAAAUCACCCCCACUGAGCACCUUGUGACCCCCACUCCUGCCCGCCAGGGAACAAUCCCCCUUUGACUGUAAUUUUCCUUUACCUACCCAAAUCUUAUAAAAUGGCCCCACCCCUAUCUCCCUUUGCUGACUCUCUUUUUGGACUCAGCCUGCCUGCAUCCAGGUGAUUAAAAGCUUUUAUUGCUCACACA
rnacentral:lncRNA from 1 species